rnacentral:misc_RNA from 1 species
GUAUUGAUUGCGUGUGACCGCAAAAAAAGAAAAGAAAAACAUUCUACACUGUAUCGAGUUUGUGUGAAAACGUGAGCCCCCGAAAGGGGACCCACGCGGUGGUGCACAUAGGGGUGAGAUGGAUGUUUGAGAACGCUCGGGCGUGCACGACGAAAAAGUCAGCGACAGCCCUCGCGCCUCGGUUUUACGAUAAUGAUCCUUCCGCAGGUUCACCUACGGAAA